GACGAACGCUGGCGGCGUGCCUAAUACAUGCAAGUAGAACGCCGUUGCGAACGGGUGAGUAACGCGUAGGUAACUGCCUGGAAGCGGGGGGUUACUAUUGGAAACGAUAGCUAAUACCGCAUACUACCAGCUGGAACUGCGUUGUAUUAGCUAGUUGGGGGGGAAACGGGUCACCAAGGCAACGAUCCAUAGCCGACCUGUGAGGGUGAUCGGCCACACUGGGACGUGGACAAGGCCCAGAAUCCUACGGGAGGCAGCAGGAGGGAAUCUUCGGAAAUUGACGGAAGGCUGACCGAGCAAAGCCGGGGGAGUGAAGAAGGUUUUCGGAUCGGAAAGCUCUGUUGUAAGAGAAGCGGUAUCUGGCCAGAAAGGGACGGCGAACUACGUGCCAGCAGCCGCGGUAAUUC
rnacentral:rRNA from 1 species